AGAGUUUGAUCCUGGCUCAGGACGAACGCCGGCGGCGUGCCUAACACAUGCAAGUCGUGCGAUUGAGAGGUGAGCAUCUCACUUCUCAAGAGCGGCGGACGGGUGAGUAAUGCGUGAACAAUCUACCGGCAAGACUGGGACAACACCGGGAAACUGGUGCUAAUACCGGAUAAUCUCCACCGGCGGCAUCGUUGGUGGAGGAAAGUCGGCCUCUGGAUAUGCUGGCGCUUGUUGAUGAGUUCACGUCCCAUUAGCUUGUUGGCGGGGUAACGGCCCACCAAGGCGACGAUGGGUAGCCGGCCUGAGAGGGUGGUCGGCCACACUGAGACUGAGACACGGCCCAGACUCCUACGGGAGGCAGCAGUGGGGAAUCUUCCGCAAUGGGCGCAAGCCUGACGGAGCGACGCCGCGUGAGGGACGAAGGCCUUCGGGUUGUAAACCUCUUUUCUGGGGGAAGAACGUCCGGCCUGUUAAUAGCGGGUUGGGUUGACGGUACCUCAGGAAUAAGCCCCGGCUAACUACGUGCCAGCAGCCGCGGUAAUACGUAGGGGGCGAGCGUUGUCCGGAAUCACUGGGCGUAAAGGGCGCGUAGGCGGCUUGAGAAGUCGCAGGUGAAAUCCCGUGGCUCAACCGUGGAACUGCCUGCGAAACCAUCGGGCUUGAGGACAGGAGAGGGAAGCGGAAUUCCUGGUGUAGCGGUGAAUGCGUAGAUAUCAGGAGGAACACCAGUGGCGAAGGCGGCUUUCUGGCCUGUAACUGACGCUGAGGCGCGAAAGCGUGGGAGCGAACGGGAUUAGAUACCCCGGUAGUGCACGCCGUAAACGAUGGGCACUAGGUGUAGGAGGUAUCGACCCCUUCUGUGCCGUAGUUAACACAAUAAGUGCCCCGCCUGGGGAGUACGGCCGCAAGGUUGAAACUCAAAGGAAUUGACGGGGGCCCGCACAAGCGGUGGAGUAUGUGGUUUAAUUCGACGCAACGCGAAGAACCUUACCAGGGCUUGACAUCCCCCGACGGCGUAUGAAAGUAUGCUUUCCACCUUCGGGUGGACGGGGAGACAGGUGGUGCAUGGUUGUCGUCAGCUCGUGCCGUGAGGUGUUGGGUUAAGUCCCGCAACGAGCGCAACCCUUACUUCUAGUUGCCAGCGGGUUAAGCCGAGCACUCUGGACGGACUGCCGUUGACAAAACGGAGGAAGGUGGGGAUGACGUCAAAUCAUCAUGCCCCUUAUACCCUGGGCUACACACGUGCUACAAUGGUCCGUACAGAGGGCGGCGACCCGGCGACGGGGAGCGAAUCCCGUAAAGCGGAUCUCAGUUCGGAUUGCAGGCUGCAACUCGCCUGCAUGAAGUCGGAAUCGCUAGUAAUCGCAGGUCAGCAUACUGCGGUGAAUACGUUCCCGGGCCUUGUACACACCGCCCGUCACACCACGAAAGUUGACAACACCCGAAGCCGGUGACUCAACCGUAAGGAGAGAGCCGUCGAAGGUGGGGUUGAUGAUUGGGGUGAAGUCGUAACAAGGUAACC
rnacentral:rRNA from 1 species